rnacentral:rRNA from 1 species
ACGGGGUGCAGCAGGCGCGAAAACUUUACAAUGCGGGCAAUCGUGAUAAGGGAACUCCGAGUGCCUGUAAAAUCAGGCUGUCCGCCAGUGUAAAUAACUGGUGAAGAAAGGGCCGGGCAAGACCGGUGCCAGCCGCCGCGGUAAUACCGGCGGCUCGAGUGGUGGCCACUAUUACUGGGCUUAAAGCGUUCGUAGCUGGUCUGUUAAGUCUCUGGGGAAAUCUUCCGGCUUAACCGGAAGGCGUCUCAGGGAUACUGGCAGACUAGGGACCGGAAGAGGUGAGAGGUACUCCAGGGGUAGGAGUGAAAUCCUGUAAUCCUUGGGGGACCACCUGUGGCGAAGGCGUCUCACCAGGGCGGCUCCGACAGUGAGGAACGAAAGCUGGGGGAGCAAACCGGAUUAGAUACCCGGGUAGUCCCAGCUGUAAACGAUGCGCGUUAGGUGUAUCGGUGACCACGAGUCACCGAGGUGCCGAAGAGAAAUCGUGAAACGCGCCGCCUGGGAAGUACGGUCGCAAGGCUGAAACUUAAAGGAAUUGGCGGGGGAGCAC